UUCUAUUGUACAGACUGUGCAUCGGAGAAGUACCAAUUGACAUGUAUGAAUCAAGAUCUUCAUUUAUAAUACGAGGAGUCUUUCACUGUUUUUGGUUGAAGUGGGUGAAAAUGGUGAAAUUGCUUUCUAGGUUCACACGAUUGUGAAAGAGAUGACUUCAAUGAUAUUCGAUAUCAAUGACAUAGUAUACAUUAAGUCCGUUUAGUGGAGCAAGCAAGUUUCGGGGCCUUUUUAUCAAUUUAACAAGAAUACAUUUCUUCUCGAUACUUACAUAAACAUUGAGAUAAUUUUUGGAAGUUGUGGAUUUAUCUGUAGUUUUCAUGGAAUAACCGCUUAAUUCCCGUUUAGUCUCGUUUAAAAUCCCGUACGCGUGUAUAUUACAUGUGUUUAAAUUACAAAACUGUACAUGACCUCAUGUACGUCUGGCUGCCUGUUUUGAGAAAUCUGUAUGAUAAAGUCAAGAGUUACCAGAAAGACAACGUAUGUCUGACAUGUGUCUUUCCUCCUCGCGGUUCGUUAUAAAAGCGCCGUCAUUGUGCUCGCCCAUAACAAUCUCACCGACGAACAAUAUAAAAUCGUCGCACCAAUUGGAAAAAUUCGCGGUUCCAUCAUGAUCUCCAGACUUGGUAAGAAAAUUUAUUCCUUCCGCAGUGUCAGAUACGCCAAACGGCCGAUCGGACAGCAACCCAAUAAAAUGAUAUUGCAAUAUCCUGCACAAGUCUUGCACAAUUUCUUAAGAAUGCAAAAUGUGGAAAGACUCUUAAUCUACGAUCGUACGAUAUUACAUAAAAAUUGCUUCGUAAAUGAUCUAUCCAGCAAUUUUUUGACAAGAUUAAGGUAGACGUCGAAUCAGAAUUUUGGCCAAAUUUUUUAUUUUUGUUUCUUCAAUUUUAUUUCCCCUAGGUAGCAAUUCCAGCGGCGGAUUGGAACGACGUUUUCGGUGCGACUAAAGAAGGACCCGCCUGCCCAGCACUCAAACAGAAUGUAAUGGAGAAUUGUGUCCGUGUGAAUGUUUACACAACGAAAUUGAGGAUAUAAUAGAACGUAACACUAACUUAAAAAAGUAUGAAUAAGUCACACAUUGAAAAAUUAUCUUGAUUCCAGUUGUCAUCGGAGAACGAUCCCAUAAAAAGGCCCGUACUGGUAUUCUCCAAUCCCGGUGGUUUUUACUUAUUCUCGGGCCAAAGCUGUAACUUCGGACCUUAAUAUUUACUGGAUAAAGACAUCGUUGCUUGUCAUUAUCAAUUACCGUCUUGCGUUUCUAAGCUUUAUGAGCACCGACGAUUCGAAGUUACCGGAUAAUUUGAGCUUGAAAGAUCAGGUCGUGGCACUUCGAUGACUCCAGAGGAACAUAGCCGCCUUCGGCGGCGAUCCCGAUAGUGUUACUAUAGA